rnacentral:rRNA from 1 species
AAUCUGAGGUGGCGACCGGCGCACGGGUGAGUAACACGUAUGCAACCUGCCUGUAAGCGGGGAAGUAACCCGUUGAAAGACGGACUAAUACCGCAUAAUACUAAAUUACUGCAUGGUAAUUUAUUUAAACAUUUAUGGCUUACAGAUGGGCAUGCGCAUGAUUAGCUAGUUGGAGAGGUAACGGCUCCCCAAGGCAACGAUCAUUAGGGGUUCUGAGAGGAAGGUCCCCCACACUGGUACUGGGACACGGACCAGACUCCUACGGGAGGCAGCAGUGAGGAAUAUUGGUCAAUGGACGAGAGUCUGAACCAGCCAAGUCGCGUGCAGGAAGAAUGUCCUAUGGAUUGUAAACUGCUUUUGCAGGGGAAUAAAGUGCAUCACGUGUGAUGUUUUGUAUGUACUCUGCGAAUAAGGAUCGGCUAACUCCGUGCCAGCAGCUGC